AUGCUUACUUUGGCAGCACAUAUACUAAAAUUGAAAUGAUACAGAGAAGAUUAUCAUGGCUCCUGCGCAAGGAUGACAAAUUUGUGACGUUUUCCAUAUUAAA